rnacentral:lncRNA from 1 species
GAACAUUUCAAGAACCCUAAUCCAGAUGCUGCUUCAGACAGUCAUUGUCAUUUCCGCCUUCCAUCUAUACAUCAUGACUGUAAAAUCUGAGGAAAAGAUCACCACACCUUGGAGUUGAAUCUGGCCUUUACUAUGAAUGCCCUAAAGUUAUGCGACCCGGAAAACAAAAGAAAGACCUGCUUGAGACAUGUAAUUUUCUAACAGUUCAGUGCUCCAUCAAUGGCUUUCACUUCAGAGGUAAUCCAUCUCUCCUAACUUGCUCUCUCUUUAAUGUGCCCCAAACAGCCAUUGCCUCUGUCACAGAACAUUUCAAGAACCCUAAUGCAGUUGGUACUUCACACAGGCAUUGUUGCUUCCAUCUUCCAUCUUCUACAUCAUGACAGAAAAAUCUGAGAAAAAAAAAACACCACGCCUGGGAGUGGAAGGUGGCCUGUACUAUGAAUGCCCUAAAGUCAUGGGACACCAAAAAAGAAAGAAAGACCCAUUUGAGACCUGCAAAUUCCUAACACUACAGUGCUCCAUCAAUGGCUUUCAGUUCAGGGGUAAUCCAUCUCUCUUCACAUACUCUCCAUGGGAUGUGCCCAAGACAGCCAUUGCCUCUGUCCCAAUACAUUUCAAGAACCCUAAUCCCUUUGCUGCUUCACACAGGCAUUGUUGUUUCCAUCUUCCAACUUCCACACCAUGACUGUAAAAUCUGAGGAAAACAACGCCAUGCCUGGGAGUGGAAGCUUCCCAUACUAUGAAGGCUCUAAAGUCAUGGGACACUGAAAAAGAAAGACCCACUUGAUACAUGCAAAUUCCUACCAGAUCAGUGCUCCAUAUGUGGCUUUCAAUUCAGAGGUAAUCCAUCUCUCUUGAUACACUCUCCAUUUAAUGUGCUCAAGAGAGCCAUUGCCUCUGUCACAGA